rnacentral:lncRNA from 1 species
CCUCCUCAACCAUAUCCGGCGUGAGGAAAUGCACGUGCGAGUCGAGGCCGCCGGCCGUAAGGAUCAUGUGCUCGCCGGCGAUGGCCUCGGUGCAAGACCCAACGACCAUGUUGGGCGUCACGUACGCCAUCGUGUCGGGGUUGCCCGCCUUGCCAAUGCCGACAAUGUGGCCGUUUUUGAUGCCGAUGUCAGCCUUGACAAUGCCCGUCGAGUCGAGGAUGAGCGCAUUUGUCACGACAGUAUCAAGCACCGUGUCGGCAGGUCGGCCUGAACACUGGCCCAUGCCAUCGCGCAGG